GACGAACGCUGGCGGCGUGCUUAACACAUGCAAGUCGAACGAUGAAGCCUAGCUUGCUAGGUGGAUUAGUGGCGAACGGGUGAGUAAUACGUGAGUGACCUACCUUUGACUCUGGGAUAAGCCUGGGAAACUGGGUCUAAUACCGGAUACGACCAAUCUCCGCAUGGGGUGUUGGUGGAAAGCGUUAUGGAGUGGUUUUAGAUGGGCUCACGGCCUAUCAGCUUGUUGGUGAGGUAAUGGCUUACCAAGGCGACGACGGGUAGCCGGCCUGAGAGGGUGACCGGCCACACUGGGACUGAGACACGGCCCAGACUCCUACGGGAGGCAGCAGUGGGGAAUAUUGCACAAUGGGCGCAAGCCUGAUGCAGCGACGCCGCGUGAGGGAUGACGGCCUUCGGGUUGUAAACCUCUGUUAGCAUCGAAGAAGCGAAAGGUGACG
rnacentral:rRNA from 1 species